UGGGGAAUAUUGGACAAUGGGCGCAAGCCUGAUCCAGCCAUGCCGCGUGAGUGAUGAAGGCCCUAGGGUUGUAAAGCUCUUUCACCGGUGAAGAUAAUGACGGUAACCGGAGAAGAAGCCCCGGCUAACUUCGUGCCAGCAGCCGCGGUAAUACGAAGGGGGCUAGCGUUGUUCGGAUUUACUGGGCGUAAAGCGCACGUAGGCGGACUUUUAAGUCAGGGGUGAAAUCCCGGGGCUCAACCCCGGAACUGCCUUUGAUACUGGAAGUCUUGAGUAUGGUAGAGGGGAGUGGAAUUCCGAGUGUAGAGGUGAAAUUCGUAGAUAUUCGGGGGAACACCAGUGGCGAAGGCGGCUCACUGGACCAUUACUGACGCUGAGGUGCGAAAGCGUGGGGAGCAAACAGG
rnacentral:rRNA from 1 species